rnacentral:rRNA from 1 species
ACGGGGUGCAGCAGGCGCGAAACCUCCGCAAUACACGAAAGUGUGACGGGGUUACCCAAAGUGUUCAAUUUUGAACUGUGGUAGGUGAGUAAUGUUCCCUACUAGAAAGGAGAGGGCAAGGCUGGUGCCAGCCGCCGCGGUAAAACCAGCUCUUCAAGUGGUCGGGAUAAUUAUUGGGCUUAAAGUGUCCGUAGCCGGUUUAGUAAGUUCCUGGUAAAAUCGGGUAGCUUAACUAUCUAUAUGCUAGGAAUACUGCUAUACUAGAGGGCGGGAGAGGUCUGAGGUACUACAGGGGUAGGGGUGAAAUCUUAUAAUCCUUGUAGGACCACCAGUGGCGAAGGCGUCAGACUGGAACGCGCCUGACGGUGAGGGACGAAAGCCAGGGGAGCGAACCGGAUUAGAUACCCGGGUAGUCCUGGCCGUAAACGAUGCAUACUAGGUGAUGGCACGGCCAUGAGCCGUGUCAGUGCCGUAGGGAAACCGUUAAGUGUGCCGCCUGGGAAGUACGGUCGC